rnacentral:lncRNA from 1 species
UUUUAUAGUUGUGGGUUUUACAUUUAAGUUUUUAAUCCAUCUUGAGUUGAUUUUUGUAUGCAGUGUAAGGAAUGAGACCAGUUUCAGUCUUCUGCAUAUGGCUAGCCAGUUAUAGAGACAAUGGGGUUUUCUAGGCAUAGAAUCAUGUCAUCUGCAAACAGUGAUAGUUUUACUUACUGAUCAGCCUGACCAAUAUGGUGACACCCUGUCUCUACUAAAAAUACAAAAAUUAGCAGGGUAUGGUGGCAGAUGCCUGUAGUCCCAGCUACUCAGGAGGCUGAGGCAGGAGAAUUGCUUGAAUCCGGGAGGAGGAUGUUGCAGUGAGCCAAGAUCGCACUACCGCACUCCAGCCUGUGCGACAG